GAAGAAAGAAGAAAGAAAGAAAGAAAGAAAGAAAGAAAGAAAGAAAGAAAGAAAGAAAGAAAGAAAAGAAAGAACAGUGGCAUAAUUAAUUUACGUGGUUACCUAGCUAAGCAUGCACCAAUACAAAAUAAAUGAAUAACAGAAUGGACUCUGACUAACAUCCUUAGUAGUAGGUCCUAUAGCCUUUGGUUCUUUAACAAUUAAAUGCAGACCAUUCAAAAUAGACUAAAAUGAAAUUUACCAUUAUAUCUGCCACACUCAAUGACCGACAGCCACGAGUAAAAUGCACUACUAGGUGAUCCUGCAGUGAAGAAAUUUUACCCUUCAUUCCUUGGUGCUUUCUGCAUUAAGGAAUAAAUACCCCAAGGGUUGCAUUUCCAACAGGACAUCCUGAGACUCCUAAUUCCUCAAAGGAGUUCCAAAGCAAAGCAGAGCUGAACAUGCUGAGAGGAUUAUAAAGGCGGUGGGAUGAAGCACUAGGCCAUGAAUGGUACACCAGAAACAAGAAGGGAACUGUCAGGUCUUUUUCUCCAGGACUACCUUAAAACGCCCUGUCCGUAUCCCAGAAAAAUAAGUGAGCUCCCUGCCAACUUUCCCUCAACAUCAUCCACUUCUCUUCUGAAAUCUAACUCAAGCAAUGGCAUAAUUCUGAGAGCUGGGAAGGAAUGAGGACUUACAGGCUUCCUGCAUCUGAGGCACACUACCAGGUCCUCAGACUAGACUGUGCUCCCUGAGAGCAGGGACUUUGUUCUGCUGCAUCCACAGUAGGUGCUCAGUAAGUAUUUGAGUACCUGAAUGAGUCAAACAUCAUAGGGCAAAGAACAGUAAAUGGGAAAUGUUACUCUGUGCACCGUCUUGCGCACCAUUUUCUUUACAGGCUCAAGCAGGUUGGAAAUUAGAGGAAAGCACAGCUUUUGAGUCUAAUAACUUCAUUCACUGAGAACUAACUUGUGCCACCAUCCUCCACUAGCCCUUUCCAGGUGCACAAUCCCUGAUUAGCCACAAAGUCUUAAAUAAUUGGGCAUGGAUAGCCAAUACCACACCAGCAAACAGCACACCAGUGAUGCUGCUGAGUCAGGCAUCGUUCCCAUAGUGAUGGGCAUCAUCACUGACUGGCCAUGGAGAAACUAGGCAAGAGUGUAGAGACCUUGCCAUGAUCCCUAAUCUCUAUGAAUGAGUCAGAUUCGUCUCCUCUCUUUCAGACAUGGUAUCCAAAGUUUUUAAAACUGCCUACCUCAACAAUCCCACCUCAGUGUUGCCAGUGUUUUCUGGGUUGGUUAAAGACAAGAAGGUACAGAAAUUACAUCCUAGGAAUCCCUGGGAUGCAUACUGCCUGCAGAGGUGUUUUGUUUAGACCAAACAGAAUUUGAAAAAAGAUGGCCAACGUUUUUUUUAAUCAGGAGAUUUUAGAUUUUAAAAAAAUGAAAUCUGAAUUCUCUUUAAAAUCUAAGGAAGUGACAAUGUUGUUUCUGAGAUCCCUUAUAACAACUACUUGGAGCAAAAAUGCACCUGCCAUGUUUCGACAAGCAUGUGUUUUCUUGUUCACAUUGUCCCUCCUUUUUCUCUUGCCUCCAAAACACAAUCUACUUUAUUCAUUUCUAUUCCCAGUCUCUGUUUGAUUGGAUUGAGAGAAGGAGAAGGCAGCAAAAAGUUGAGUUCGUGCUUGAGUUAUUUUUAUGGCAAGCAAAACAUCUACCUUAUUUUUUAUCCUCAGUGCCAAGCAGAAUAUGGAAUAAAGAAGGGAGUGAGAAGAGAAGGGUAGAUCAUGUGGUUUUAUCAAACCCAUCCAUCUACCCAUCUCAUUCAACAUGUGUUGAAUGCCUGCCACUUUUCAGAUGCUCUCCCAGGUACAGAAUACAUCUGUUUCCUGCCCACUAUCUUUCAAGUGAGAAGAAGACAAACAGCCUCUGUGUGAAGUUGAAAGCUCCUGGGAAAGGAAAAAGCCAGCUCUGCUGAGUGGAGCCAUUGCACGUUCACAAUUAAGUGAGACUCAAGGCCUGACAAAAACAUCAAUUUUGGUAGAAAACUUCUGAAACAUUUCAAAGUCCUUCACAAUUCUGACCUCUUCACAGAGUCCAUCCUACUGACACCAACCCACACUGGCAACUCAUGCAAACUAACAAUGCUCCACACAGACUGCUCCCUGGCCCGGUGCUGGAGUAAAGGUGACAUGGAGCAGAGCCACAGUCAACCCGCAGUGGACAUGCAAUGUGAGCAGGAAAUAAACCUUUCUAGUAAACCACUGAGAUUGUUCUGUCAUUGGUUAUUAUAGCAUAACCCAUGAGUAAUAUUCAAACCAGGCAGAAAACAUUAAAGGGCGGUGGGCAUUUGUGUAAGCACAUUCCCCUCCUAAAGAGUCUGCCUUCUAAAAACUAGCUCUGCUAGAUUUUCUCAUUUUUAAAAUGUUGGUAUUUUAUCCCUCCACAAUAAUAUUGUGAGUCAAACAAACAUGCCUGUGGACCACCAGUCUUCAACCUCUAGCUCUUGGCAUCUGCAGAAUGAACACGUACCUGGAUCAUACCAUACAGAUUUACUGAGGUGUGAUUUUUAAUUAUCUACUAUGAAGCUGAUGUGCAUAAGCAAAUAACUUGAUUCCUGCGCCAGUCUAAUGGCCGACCUAAGGUCCCCACCUCAGUGCAGUUUGGUUGUUCUCUCUGUACUAUUUCAAAUGCUAAAACUCGUAUUAAGGGUCUGAAGGGGUUACUUGGCUUUACUUAUAUUUUAUAGCAUUUUAGUGAAGAGU